UGGGGAAUAUUGGACAAUGGGCGAAAGCCUGAUCCAGCCAUGCCGCGUGUGUGAAGAAGGUCUUCGGAUUGUAAAGCACUUUAAGUUGGGAGGAAGGGCAGUAAAUUAAUACUUUGCUGUUUUGACGUUACCGACAGAAUAAGCACCGGCUAACUCUGUGCCAGCAGCCGCGGUAAUACAGAGGGUGCAAGCGUUAAUCGGAAUUACUGGGCGUAAAGCGCGCGUAGGUGGUUCGUUAAGUUGGAUGCGAAAUCCCCGGGCUCAACCUGGGAACUG
rnacentral:rRNA from 1 species